UACGUAGGCAGCAAGCGUUGUUCGGAGUUACUGGGCGUAAAGAGUGCGUAGGCGGUCCUGUAAGUUUGGUGUGAAAUCUCCCGGCUCAACUGGGAGGGUGCGCCGAAGACUGCAGGGCUUGAGUAUGGGAGAGGUAAGCGGAAUUCCUGGUGUAGCGGUGGAAUGCGCAGAUAUCAGGAGGAACACCGGUGGCGAAGGCGGAUCUCUGGGCCGUAACUGACGCUGAGGAGCGAAAGCAUGGGGAGCGAACAGG
rnacentral:rRNA from 1 species